UACGAGGGUGCAAGCGUUGCUCGGAAUUAUUGGGCGUAAAGCGUGCGUAGACGGUUGCGUAAGUCAGAUGUGAAAGCCCCGGGCUCAACCUGGGAAUUGCAUUUGAGACUGCGUAGCUAGGGUGCGGAAGAGGGAAGCGGAAUUUCCGGUGUAGCGGUGAAAUGACGUAGAUAUCGGAAGGAACACCAGUGGCGAAGGCGACUUACUGGACACAUAUUGACGCUGAGGUGCGAAAAGCGUGGGGAGCAAACAGGG
rnacentral:rRNA from 1 species